AGGGUUCAGCCACUCCGUCCUCCCUCCCCCGGCAGGUGCUCAAGGCCGGAAGUUACUGGGAAAGGGCCUCAGGCUGAGGCGAGAACUACAUCUCCCACAAUGCUCUGCUCGCACGGCUGCUUGUGGUGCAGGCAGCGCGGGGCCCGAUUUGAUUGCCACCACGGUGCAUAAUGGAGCCCUUAACCCCUUCUGAGCCUUCCCCACAAAACAGCUUGCCCACACCGCAGAAGAAGUACCAUGUCCUGGUGGGUGUUACUGGAAGUGUGGCUGCCCUGAAGUUGCCUAUUCUGGUCUCAAAACUGCUGGAGAUUCCUGGGCUGGAAGUGCAUGUCGUAACAACGGAGAGGGCAAAACAUUUCUACAACCCCCAGGAGAUUCCUGUAACCCUCUACAGUGAUACUGAUGAAUGGCAGCUGUGGAAAGGGCGUACAGACCCAGUCCUACAUAUUGACCUGCGGCGCUGGGCUGACCUCAUGCUGGUGGCUCCUCUUGAUGCGAAUACACUGGCAAAAAUAGCAAAUGGCAUCUGUGACAAUUUACUGACCUGUGUCAUCCGUGCGUGGGACCUGACCAAACCCCUGCUCUUCUGCCCUGCUAUGAACACAGCCAUGUGGGAGCAUCCUAUUACAGCUCAGCAGGUGGAGCAACUCAGAGGCUUUGGCUACGUAGAGAUCCCUUGUGUGGUGAAGAAGCUGGUGUGUGGGGACGAAGGUCGAGGUGCCAUGGCGGAAGUAUGGACCAUUGUGGAGAAGGUGAAGGCGAUCCUUUCAGAGCGGGACUUGCCAAAGCAGCUGAUUUCUUGAUGUAAAUCCCCCAUCCCACCCCCGUGACAGUUUAUCAGUGUGAGGAUGAGAGCAAAAGGGACCUGAGAUGGUCCAGCAUCAAGAGGAAUCAGAGAAGAGGAUGGUGUAAAAAUAUUAGUUAUGGGAAUGCUCCCAGCCUCACCCACUAGAAGUCACGAUAAUGAAUGUUCUAAAAGUACCGGCUCUGGAAAGCUCUUAAAACAGCUCCUCUAGUCUCCACCUUUCCUGCAGGACGCUUAUUAUCAAUAUUUCCCUAAGAAACCGUAAUGAGCAAAGGCUGCAAUUCAUUGUUUGAAGGUCGUUUGACUCAGUCAUGCAUGUUUUUGGUGCAUGAUACGUAUUUUCUGUAUUACUUGAAUGUUGUUUUUUACGAUCACAGGAGAAAAAAAAUCCAUUGAAAGAGCACAGAGGGCCUUGUGUUGACCUUUGCCCUUUUGUAUCCAUUGAUGUGUAGAAAUGCAGACGGCAAAUGUAAACCAAAAUGAACUUUCGGCUCUGCCUGGCAGAGUGUUGAAGGUCUUGACAUCAGCACAUUUGGCCACUCUAAAAAACCUGGGGAAGCUGUCUCGAAAAGACUUUGAUGCUCCUUUUGAAUUUGAAAAAUUAAAGAGUGACAAGAGGAAGAUGGGAAAACCUGACCAUGGACAUCAGGGGUUACACCUAGGAGAGCCCCACAGCUCCUCCUCCUUUGAAAUGUGAUCCUUUCACCCAAAAAGGAAGGAAGGGAGUGGAUGGGGGAGGGUGCUGCAGUCUGCAGAGCACAGGUUUUGUUUAUAGAUCCUAGAGUUUAUUUUUAACUAGUUACACACAAAUAUAAGGCCUUCUGUACAGAACCUACACCCUACGUAUUAGGCAACCUUUGAGCUCCUUAGCACAAGGGAAAGGUUAUCAUGGAGUGUUUGGUGUCCUUAUCGAUUCUAUACAAAUAAAAAGCUUCUGAACUUUC